CCUACGGGUGGCAGCAGUAGGGAAUAUUGCUCAAUGGGGGAAACCCUGACGCAGCAACGCCGCGUGGAGGAUGCAGGUUUUAGGAUUGUAAACUCCUUGUGUUAGAGCAGAAUAUGACGGUAUCUACAGAAUAAGCACCGGCUAACUCCGUGCCAGCAGCCGCGGUAAUACGGAGGGUGCAAGCGUUAGCCGGAAUCACUGGGAGUAAAGAGUGCGUAGGCGGGGGAGUAAGUCUGAUGUGAAAGUCGGUGGCUCAACUACAGAACGGCAUUUGAUACUGUUACUCUGGAGUGAGGGAGAGGUAGAUGGAAUUCUUGGUGUAGCGGUGAAAUGCGUAGAGAUCAAGAGGAAUACUCGUGGCGAAGGCGAGCUGCUGGACCAUAACUGACGCUGAUGCACGAAAGCCAGGGGAGCAAAAGGGAUUAGACACCCCAGUAGUC
rnacentral:rRNA from 1 species